UACGUAGGGUCCGAGCGUUGUCCGGAUUUAUUGGGCGUAAAGAGCUCGUAGGCGGUUCCGUAAGUCAGAUGGGAAAACUCAGGGCUCAACCCGGAGACGCCAUCUGAUACUGCGGUGACUGGAGUCUGGUAGGGGAACACGGAAUUCCUGGUGUAGCGGUGAAAUGCGCAGAUAUCGGGAGGAACACCGGUGGCGAAGGCGGUUCUCUGGGCCUUACCUGACGCUGAGGAGCGAAAGCGUGGGGAGCGAACAGG
rnacentral:rRNA from 1 species